UACGUAGGGUGCAAGCGUUGUCCGGAAUUAUUGGGCGUAAAGAGCUCGUAGGCGGUUCGUCACGUCGGCUGUGAAAUCCCGAGGCUCAACCUCGGGUCUGCAGUCGAUACGGGCGGACUGGAGUACUGCAGGGGAGACUGGAAUUCCUGGUGUAGCGGUGAAAUGCGCAGAUAUCAGGAGGAACACCGGUGGCGAAGGCGGCAUCCUGGACCGGCAUUGACGCUGAGGCGCGAAAGCCAGGGGAGCAAACGGG
rnacentral:rRNA from 1 species